UCUAGAGAUGUUUGUCGAAAUAAUGCGCCAAAUAAACUGAAGUGUUGUUUCGUUUAUUAAAGCCGGCCUAAGUGAGCUAACAAAGAAAUCAUCAGUCCACAAAAGAAUCAACCAGGGAAGGAGAAAAACAUUCAAAGCUGCAAAUUGCCAAAUCCAUCACCGGCCUAAAGGAGCUAACAAAAAAAUCAUCAGUCCAUAAAAGAAUCAACCAGUGAAGGAGAAAAACAUUCAAAGCUGUAAAUUGCCAAAUCCAUCAGUUGGAAGAUGGAUGUCAAAGUCUCAGACAAAAGCUUCCAGAGUUAAGGAGAGAACACUUCAACAAAAACAAGCACGAGAAGAAUGACUGCAAAAAAGUUUUUCGCAGAUUCGUUUCCUUAUCAAGUGUAUUUAAGGAAAAUGGACAGGAGUGUCUACAGAGACUAGAUGUAAAUGUCAAUGACUGCAAUGAGCAAUUCAAUGACUCCUUUCUAAUUGUGUCAAGUGUCAUAAAAAAUUAAAACUGUUAUAAAUGGACGUGUAGUAAUGAUGAAAUUAUUACCCUGUUGCGAAUAACAUUAACUAUUCAUGAACUUAGUUCAUGAAUGACAUUUUGAAAAAAUCAUGUUCAUGAACUGUCAAGUUCAUUAACUAAGUGGGAGUUCAUGAACAUGAUUUGUCCAAAUUGUCAUUCAUGAAUAGUUUAUGUUUUUCUUUAAAAGCACACGCCAGGGGCUAGAAUAAGGUUAGGUGAAUAAGGGUCCUCUUAUUUAAACUUCAGAUAGGCUUGCACAAGCUCGCAAAGUGAAUUGUAACGAGCUUAUCAAGCUCGUAAUAUUGCUCAUACAAGCUCGUAAAGCUGCCCAUGACGAGCUUGUACAAGCUCGCGACGUGAAAUGUAACAUGCUUGUCAAGCUCGUAAAAUUGCUCAUACAAGCCUGUAAAGCUGCUCGUGACGAGCUUGUACGAUCUUGUUUUUAAGCUUGUACUAUCUUAAUUUUGAGCGUGUACGAGCUUAAACGAACACGUACGAGCUGGUAUUUGUUUCAAUUACGGCCCAUAAUAGCUUAAAGCUCGGGCGCGCUUGCUCGCGAACUAGAUUGGGAAGUUGAUCGUACGAUCCCUUGACAAGCUCGUCUUCUAGCUCGCGAUUUUCA